CAGGGGCUGCUCUGAGCAGGCUCCUGGAGAUGCUUCAGCCUGGAUACAGGCCACUGACAGCCCAAAAGCAGCCCAAGGAGCAGCUGGCGUGUCCUGGUGAUGGCGGCACGGGCUGCGUGCAGAGGGGCUCAGACAGCAAUUCCUGGUUCCAGCCUCCCAGAGCUCCCAGGCAGCUGCCAGCUAUUAAAUGCCACCGACAGCCUGCAGAGAUGCCUUCAAAUCAAAGGUUCAGGUGGGAUGAAGUUUUGUUUGGACGAAGGUGGGAGUUUCCAGGGAGCCAGCUGGAAGUGCAGAAGGGAUGGAAAGCUUUCCCAGGUACUUCCCAGUGGCACUGCUCAGACACCAGAGCUCCAACUGCAGCAGGUGAGUCCUGGAGUGCUGGAUCAGCAUGGCCACAAUGGCCAGGGAGGUGAGUGAGCACUGGGCAAGGCAGUGAGCCUGCACCUCAACACCACCUGUGAGAGCAAGGACUGGCUCACUCUGGAGAGCCUGAAGGAAAACUCGCUCCAAAUCUCUUCUGGCCGAUGCUGACAUCAAUUUCCCCAAAGCCUUAAUGUGCUCUGUGGACAGCAGAAGUUCUCCUUGCUGGGGCUGUCUUUGGUGGCUGUCUGUAAAGAGCUGCACCAAAGUUUGUCCAUAGAAGCUUAACUGCUUCCCUAUUUUAGGGGAUUUUUUCAGAUUUCUGAGAAGCCAAGCCCAUCUCAGGAAGUUGCAGCAUGGUUAAAGUGAUCUCCUUCAGCUGAGCUGCAGUCAUGUACAUGUGCAGCUCCUCCAGAGCCUGCAGCUGGUGAGACUUCCUGGGAUAGACCUGGCUUUGGUCCUUCCCCCCAGUCUGCAGCUCUUCCAGGACACUUUUGGUGAUGGCUUUGAAAUACUUGGACAAGACGUGUCUGUGAUCUCUCGUUUUCAGCAGCUGGAGCACCCCAGAAUGGAGGUGAGCUGACAGGAGCUUCACAGUGACAGGGUUCAGACCAGGCUGAGGAAUAGAGCGCAGCUCCAACGCCAGGAACCAGCUCUCCAGUGCAGGAUGUCUGAAAAUCAAGGGAUUUGGUACCUUGUCAUUUGAAGACACUUCUGUCAUCAGAGGCUCCUCAUCCAUGAAGAGAUCCCAUCAGCCUGAUGCUCCUCCUGCUUCUGCUGCUGCUCCAGCUUUAUUUCAUUGUCCCGGCACAACAAGAUGCUCAGCAGGUCCACACAGAGAUCAACAAGCUGAGGACCCAAAGUUUUACCAAGCUAUGAAAACAAAGACAUGUUGGAAGUGAAGAAAAGAGGAGGAUGGGAGCAGACAGGUGCUUUAUCUUUAUUAAAAAGGAAAGGGCUGUUUGUUCUAAUUGUACUAGAAAUAAAUCAGGUGGUUGAAGAAAUAAGUCAG